GGGUUGUGAGGUUAAGCGACUAAGCGUACACGGUGGAUGCCCUGGCAGUCAGAGGCGAUGAAGGACGUGCUAAUCUGCGAUAAGCGCCGGUAAGGUGAUAUGAACCGUUAUAACCGGCGAUUUCCGAAUGGGGAAACCCAGUGUGACUCGUCACACUAUCAUUAACUGAAUCCAUAGGUUAAUGAGGCGAACCGGGGGAACUGAAACAUCUAAGUACCCCGAGGAAAAGAAAUCAACCGAGAUUCCCCCAGUAGCGGCGAGCGAACGGGGAGGAGCCCAGAGCCUGAAUCAGCAUGUGUGUUAGUGGAAGCGUCUGGAAAGGCGCGCGAUACAGGGUGACAGCCCCGUACACAAAAGCGCAUGUGUUGUGAGCUCGAUGAGUAGGGCGGGACACGUGGUAUCCUGUCUGAAUAUGGGGGGACCAUCCUCCAAGGCUAAAUACUCCUGACUGACCGAUAGUGAACCAGUACCGUGAGGGAAAGGCGAAAAGAACCCCGGCGAGGGGAGUGAAAAAGAACCUGAAACCGUGUACGUACAAGCAGUGGGAGCCCCACCACUAAGCCAGUGGUGAACUCCACAUACGCAUCCUUUGCUGAAGGUGCGGUUAACGGAGCGCAAGCGACGUUCAACCUCAAAAGAAGCAGAGGGGGCUUAGUGGUGGG
rnacentral:rRNA from 1 species